AUUGAACGCUGGCGGCAUGCUUUACACAUGCAAGUCGAACGGCAGCGCGGGCUUCGGCCUGGCGGGGAGUGGCGAACGGGUGAGUAAUACAUCGGAACGUGCCCAGUAGUGGGGGAUAGCUCGGGAAAGCCGGAUUAAUACCGCAUACGACCUGAGGGUGAAAGCGGGGGAUCUUCGGACCUCGCGCUAUUGGAGCGGCCGAUGGCAGAUUAGCUAGUUGGUGGGGUAAAGGCCUACCAAGGCGACGAUCUGUAGCUGGUCUGAGAGGACGACCAGCCACACUGGGACUGAGACACGGCCCAGACUCCUACGGGAGGCAGCAGUGGGGAAUUUUGGACAAUGGGCGAAAGCCUGAUCCAGCAAUGCCGCGUGUGUGAUGAAGGCCUUCGGGUUGUAAAGCACUUUUGGCGGGAACG
rnacentral:rRNA from 1 species